rnacentral:rRNA from 1 species
ACGCUCGACACCUGGAGGCAGCAGUGGGGAAUAUUGCACAAUGGAGGAAACUCUGAUGCAGCGAUGCCGCGUGAGGGAAGAAGGUUUUCGGAUUGUAAACCUCUGUCUUUGGGGACGAUAAUGACGGUACCCAAGGAGGAAGCUCCGGCUAACUACGUGCCAACAGCCGCGGUAAUCUGAGCGGGCUGGCAAGGC